AGAAGCAUAAAGGUAACAAGCUGAGUUUAGAUGUAUUCAGUUUGUAUGAGAGGAGGUAGUUACAAGUUAGAAAGCAAACAAAAGUUUUUUAGAUUCCAAACCCUGAAAUUUAAGUGGAUGAAUUUGUUACAAGGAAAAAAAAUAAAAGUCUUACUCAACUAUUUCUGUUUCCUAAUGACAAACUUUAUAUCAUAUUUGAAAGUAAGCCUAUCUUUGGAAAAAUGAGUACAGGUCUCCACUAAGAAACAAACUAAAUGUAAAAGAAAACAAAGGGAAACUGGAGUGCAGCUGGAACAGUAGCAGUGGAGUAAGCUACUCUAUGGAGAUGAUGAAACAACUGCUCUGGACUCUAUAGCAGGACCAGCUGCUGUCUCAUAUAGGCAGUCCCCAUAGCACAGCCAGCUGAUGGCACUGAAUGGUAGGAAGAGGAGAAUCCUGUGGCAAAAGCAAGGUCCCGAAAACAGCAGCACUAUCUAACUCGUUCCCAGCCUUGCAUGCAAGAACCUCAGAGUGAGUGACCAUCUGCAAACUACCAUGCAUUCCGUGAUGAGGGGAGAGAAGCAAGUCUGCGUAGUUCUACAGCAGUUCUCCCUCUACCAGAUGCAUCCUAAUCCCUUUGGUAAAUUCAUCCCAGGUGGCUGCUCGGCACUCUGCCCAGCAGUUAAGAAAUUAUUUGAGAUAUGCUGUUUUCUGAUGCUUCCCUCUUUAUGAUUGCUUAAUUGGGAGAUUGCAUUAAUUUGAUUUUAUCAAGGUAAGGUAUGUGUAAAAAUUAAAUUCUCCCCCCUCAAAAACAAUCAAAUCAAUUAAUUCACAAUAACACUCUUCAUUUUGCCUUUAUCCCAGAUAUUUCCCUUUGUUCUAUUCUAAACUGUUUUCUCCCUGUUUUCUUGGUGUAUAAUCUUGAAACUAUUAGUGUAUCUUUACACGGUUGCCUGGCUUUUGCUGAGGCAGUUUUUUCUCUUUUUUUUUGCUUUAUGUAAAACUUGUAUAACAAUGACAAAACCAACAAUUAUUAAGGAUACCUCAUUCUGCUGAUAUGAUAUUCUUAAGACCACUCCCACUCAUUUUAGUUUUCCAUACCUUAAAACAGCAGGGGGGCCUGACUCUAUCUUCUGUGCUGGUUUUCUCAUUUUGUCAUUUGAUUAAUUUUUGUUGCUCCUCUGACAUCCUUUCAAUCUGUUCUCCCAUUUCUAGUUAUGUUUUAUUCAGGCUUAAAUCCAGUAAAACUAGAACAACAGCAACAAACAAACAAACAAACAAAAAAAGCAAACCUAGUAUAUAACAUUUUACAAGCUAAACUUAAGAAAAGGACAAAAUACAUGAUCAGUACCUAUUUUGAUACUCUGGCUCCCACAUUUUCUUUUGAAUUUUGAUUUUAUAGUAUCCCAGUGUAAUAGCUGAUUUAGAAUAAGUUGCAGCAUUAUCUCCUGGAGACGGAAAACUGGAAAGUUUACAACAGAGUUCUGUGUAUUUUGAAACAUAAACCUUUAAUGUCCCAAUCAAUUCUUACUCUCCUAUUCAUUGUCGGGAAAAUAAAAAAAAAGAGGUUUUUUUGAAAAUCCACUCCUAAUUUGUGAUGCUUGACAUAAAAAAAUACACAUCUAGAUCAACAGGACAGAUCCUCAGUUGGCACAAACUGACCAAGUAGCACUAACAACAGGGAAACUGGAUUGAUAACAGCUGGGUAUUUUGCUCAUUUUUAAUCCAGUAUAAUGGUUGUUUGGCUGAGCGAAAUUACAACCAAAGGUCCCAGGAUAUAGUCUUUCAGAAAGUCAUCACACAUUUCAGGAUCUCAAAAAUUGAUGAUUUUUUUCAUAUUUUUGGACCAGUUUCCAUUAUAGCUCAAAUUCUGUAUUAUGCAUAUUUUACUUCUUUAUAAAAAUGAAAUGUGCUUCUCCUCAUUCUGUAUAUUUAACAAAAUAAAUCUAAAAGCAAGAAAUGUCUUAGAGUCAAACAGACUUAUUCUGCUGUAAAACUAAUCUACCUCUGACUUGCUGGGUUUAAAUAGAAUGAAAUGAAGCUAUAUUUAAAAAUGAGAGACAAAGAAUGUUAAAAAUACACAUUUUUGAGACUAAUUUUAUGAUAGAAAAAAAGUGAACAGCCUGUCCUAUGAGCUUCACUUCCAUUCCCAACUGUUGUGAUUCUCUAAGUGCUCAAUACAUAUGAUGCAGUAGCUUCGAAAAUUAAAUGUUUUUUUUUUUUUAACACAUUUGUAACAAAGCAAACAAAACGUACAUGUUUGUGUAUUUGAGAUUUACAGUACAGACAAAAGGAGCUGGAGGGUUAGAUUCUUGGUAUCAAUUAGAGGUACCAUUUGCACAGGUACCAUUUGCACAGGAGGCAGACUGUUGGAUGCAUAUAGAUGUGAAAUAAAAAGAUUGUGUGAAGAAAAUGCAGAUGAUAUGAUAGUGAUUUAAAAUAAAAGAGGGAAAAACUCAACCAAAAUGACAGGAAUGGAGAACAGAGGUGCUUUUGGUACCACAAAGUAUAGGCAGAUGUUUAUAUUCAGAAAUUAUCAUUACCAUGACACUGUGAAAGUUGGAUAGGAAUAUUGUCUCAUCCUACCAACUUCUGAAUCUGUUGAUCAAGUUGGAGCUGUACUUACUGCCAGUAAUGUUAAAAUAAAAUAAAAUAAAAUAAAAUAAAAUAAAAUAAUAUAAUAUAAAAUAGACUUGAUAUUCUGUAAGAUGAAGAAAGCAAACUAAAUAUUACAUUUUCACAAAUUGACCAUCUUCAGCAAAAACUGAAACAGAGAAUUUUAAAAGUUCAAAUGCUCAAGACAUCAUUGACUGCAUCCAAUCUAGUGUUUAAAUGCCUAGAGCUUCAGUAUUGCAAAACCCAGUGUUAAAGACAUGACUACAAGUCAUCUAACACUUUGGGUAUACAUACCCUCAGCAGUUAAUUAGGGAUUUUAACACAGUAAUGUUCAGAAUCUAGUUCACCCCCUUAAUGACUGAAUUCUUUAAAAAUAUUCCGCUACUACGCAGAAGCAAAAGGAGCACUGAUCCAAUUACCAAGAAUGUCCAGCAUUGUGGACACAAAAAUAUGCACAUCUGACUGAACAUCUGGAAAAAGAAUCAUAGAAUCACCGAAUAAUAGAAUUAGCAAGGUAGGAAAAGACCUACAAGGUCAUCCAGUGCAACCGUCCACCUACCACCAAUAUUUCCCACUAAACCAUGUCCCUCAGUACAA